GACGAACGCUGGCGGCGUGCUUAACACAUGCAAGUCGAACGGAAAGGCCCUGCUUUUGUGGGGUGCUCGAGUGGCGAACGGGUGAGUAACACGUGAGUAACCUGCCCUUGACUUUGGGAUAACUUCAGGAAACUGGGGCUAAUACCGGAUAGGAGCUCCUGCUGCAUGGUGGGGGUUGGAAAGUUUCGGCGGUUGGGGAUGGACUCGCGGCUUAUCAGCUUGUUGGUGGGGUAGUGGCUUACCAAGGCUUUGACGGGUAGCCGGCCUGAGUGGGUGACCGGCGACAUUGGGACUGAGAGACGGCCCAGACUCCUACGGUAGGCAGCAGGGGGGAAUAUUGCACAAUGGGCGGAAGCCUGAUGCAGCAACGCCGCGUGCGGGAUGACGGCCUUCGGGUUGUAAACCGCUUUCGCCUGUGACGGAGCGUGAGUGACGGUAAUGGGUAAAGAAGCACCGGCUAACUACGUG
rnacentral:rRNA from 1 species